CUAAAUACUACCCAGUGACCGAUAGCGUAUAGUACUGUGAAGGAAAGGUGAAAAGCACCCCGGGAGGGGAGUGAAAAAGAACCUGAAACCCUGUGCCUACAAGCACCUAGAGCACGUCAAUGUGUGAUAGGGUACUUUUUGUAGAACGGUCCGGCGAGCGAUUGUAUGCAGCAAGGUUAAGGACUUAAGGUCUGGAGCCGAAGCGAAAGCGAGUUUGAAAAGGGCGUUAAGUUGCAUAUAAUGGGCCCGAAACCGGGUGACCUACCCAUGGUCAGGUUGAAGUGGAAGUAAAAUUCCAUGGAGGACCGAACCGACCUCCGUUGAAAAGGCGGCGGAUGAACUGUGGGUAGCGGAGAAAUUCCAAUCGAACCCGGAGAUAGCUGGUUCUCCCCGAAAUAGUUUUAGGACUAGCCUCAAGUUAGAUACCUGGAGGUAAAGCACUGAAUAGCCUAGCGGCCGAGAGGUUAGCGAAGCUUAUCAAACUCAGAAUGCCAGAGUAUUGAUGCUUGGGAGUCAGACAGUGUCAGAUAAAUGUCAUUGUCAAAAGGGAAACAGCCCAGAUCUACAGCUAAGGUCCCAAAGUCAGGUUAAGUGGAAAACGAUGUGAAGAUACGCAGACAACCAGGAUGUUGGCUCAGAAGCAGCCACUCAUUCAAAGAGUGCGUAAUAGCUCACUGGUCGAGCGUCUUUGCGCGGAGAAUUUAACGGGGCUAAACCUGACACCGAAGCUUAGGCAAUCCAGUAAUGGAUUGGGUAGGGGAGCGUUGUAUACGCGGAGAAACAGUAGCGUGAGCGGCUGUGGAGUGUAUAGAAGUGAGAAUGCCGGAAUGAGUAGCGCGAAUGCAGUGAGAAUCUGCAUGGCCGAAAGCCUCAGGUUUUUGGAGGAAGGUUCGUCCGCUCCAAGUUAGUCGGGAGCUAAGGUGAGGCCGGAAGGCGUAGCCGAUGCACAGACGGUAGAGAUUCCGUCACCACCAAAAGAGUUAAGCACAGGGACACAUUUGAAGUCUCAGAGCCGGGUGUUGGUUCCGGUAGAGAUCGAGGGAAGUUAGUACCGAAGUCUGGGAUGGAAGAUGGCGAGAAAAGCUGUGUGUAUUUCUGAGGUGCCCGUACCGCAAACCGACACAGGUAGGUAGGAAGAAGAUUCUAAGGCCAACGGGAGAAGGGUUGUUAAGGAACUCGGCAAAUUGACCCCGUAACUUCGGGAGAAGGGGUGCUCCAGAGAUGGAGCCGCAGAGAAUCGGCCCAAGCAACUGUUUACCAAAAACACAGGUUUGUGCUAAAUCGAAAGAUGACGUAUACGAGCUGACGCCUGCCCGGUGCUGGAAGGUUAAGAGGAGAUGUGCAAGCAUUGAAUCGAAGCCCCAGUGAACGGCGGCCGUAACUAUAACGGUCCUAAGGUAGCGAAAUUCCUUGUCAGGUAAG
rnacentral:rRNA from 1 species